rnacentral:rRNA from 1 species
CAGCAGCCGCGGUAAUACGAAGGGGGCUAGCGUUGCUCGGAAUCACUGGGCGUAAAGGGUGCGUAGGCGGGUCUUUAAGUCAGGGGUGAAAUCCUGGAGCUCAACUCCAGAACUGCCUUUGAUACUGAAGAUCUUGAGUUCGGGAGAGGUGAGUGGAACUGCGAGUGUAGAGGUGAAAUUCGUAGAUAUCCGCAAGAACACCAGUGGCGAAGGCGGCUCACUGGCCCGAUACUGACGCUGAGGCACGAAAGCGUGGGGAGCAAACAGGAUUAGAUACCCCUGUAGUCCCUGUCUCUUAUAA